CUGUCCGAGGGGCGCUGCAGCAAACUCUGGCCACCAGAGAUUUGUCAGGCUCGGACAGGGCGUUAACCAUACGCAUCAACGGCGCCCAUUCGCA
rnacentral:ncRNA from 3 species